ensembl:snRNA U4 U4 spliceosomal RNA
AGCUUUGUGCAGCAGCAGUGUCAUAGCCAAUGAGGUUUAUCCGAGGUGCGGUUAUUGCUAAUUGAAAAAUAUCAAUCUCAGAGUCAAAGCUAAAAUGCAUCUCACAUUUGCUUUCAUAUACAGAUUUUGUUUUCCUUUCAAAAGA